AGAUGUAGAGAGGACCCACCAAUGCAGCCGAAAUUAACGUUCCCAAGGACCUUGAUGGGGGACAGGAGGAGGAGCUUUAAGGCGGCCUGGUACCACAUCCACUCGCAACAUUUUUGUUGCAUAUUCAACUGGAGUAUUGUGACUAUUGAAUGUGCCCCUUUGACAAAACUCUUGGCCUCAGGCUGGCCCCUCCAGUAAAAUAGGUCUAGAAACGCCACUGCAGAGGACCCACCGCCAGAUUGUCUCCAUUGCUCUGUGGUCCAGCCUGCUAUCGUUCCGUGCUCCAGCACCUAGCCACCAAGCCGCCCAGCCUCGAGCCCUCCCCAGCCACCAGACACCAGGUCAUGAGCCUCCCUGCCUCCAUUCUCCAGAGCCCCUCUCCACACGCUUCCCCCCUCUGUUUCAAGCUCCUGGAUUCCUGUGUAUGCCUGCGCCUCUA